rnacentral:rRNA from 1 species
GAUGAACGCUGACAGAAUGCUUAACACAUGCAAGUCUUUGGCGAAGCUGUGCUUGCACAGCCUAGCCAAGGCGGACGGGUGAGUAACGCGUAAGGGACUUGCCCUGCAGUCAGGGAUAACAGACGGAAACGACUGAUAAGACCUGGUAAAGUCAGGCGGACUCAUGUCCAGCCUGAUGAAAAGGAAUGCUGCAGGAGAGCCUUGCGUCCUAUUAGCUUGUUGGUGGGGUAACGGCCCACCAAGGCGAUGAUAGGUAGCCGGCCUGAGAGGGUGGACGGCCACAAGGGGACUGAGAUACGGCCCUUACUCCUACGGGAGGCAGCAGUGGGGAAUAUUGGACAAUGGGGGCAACCCUGAUCCAGCAAUUCUGUGUGCACGAUGAAGGUCUUCGGAUUGUAAAGUGCUUUCAGCAGGGAAGAAAAAAAUGACGGACCUGCAGAAGAGCGCGCA